UCUCAAUUCCGUCUUUCCAAAGUGGAGGAAUAGCAUAAGGCAGACUCAGAGGAGCCAGUGUUAAAAUAACAUAACACAUGGGGCCAGUCUUUCAUUGACAACUAAUAAUUGAUAAUUUCUUCUAAUGAGUUUUAGCUCAAGAAGUUUCCCCUGGACUAAGGAGGAUGGCAAGUCCCACAACCACAGCACACACAGUAAAUAGGCCUCACCUCUAUCCUUACUGUCUAUGCCCUUCAGUUCUCCACAGGCCAGGUUUAAAACUCCUAAUUCUACUCUCAUCCUUUUUGAUAAAAAAAUCAAAUGCAUUUUGGAUCUUCAUAUGGAAUUAGAUAUUGUAAUGGAAAGAAUGAAACCCAAAGGGUCUGGAUCUGCCAUUGUGUAACCUGAAAUAGGCAUUUAACCUUCAGAGUCUUAGUAGUUUCCUCAUGUGUGAAUUCAGACUUUCAGAUUAAUGAAGCUUCAGUGGCCUAUACACCCUGUUUGGUGAGUCUAUUAUUCUAACACAUUUCUGUGUAAUUAUGUUGCCUAUGCAGGGAAUUCCAGUGUAAAAAGAAAGUCCAGUGGAUAUAGACUAUUUCAAUAAUGGCCCUUUUGUUACUUAGAUGUAAAUUUACCUACUUGUUCAGUUUGGAAAUCAGUUUGCUUAUGCUACCUUCUGUUUGUCUUUAGCUUCUUCUGUGCUGUAUCUUUCUUAUCCCUAUGAAUGCAAAUUACUGACUACCUGAAAUUUAUUUUAUAAGCAACAAGCUUAAAAAUUUGCAUAAUUCUUAUGUUUGGCAAAACUCUGCAGAGGAAGAUAAUGUAUUGAAAAGAAAUAGGCUUGGUUUUGGGAAUACUUCCAAUUUUGAUUCCUUGGCAGGGUUGGACUUCCACUGGAAAAUAAAAUUAGCCAAAGCUUUAGCUCAAAAUCUUUUGAAAGAUAAAGCUAUGGGGAUUACUCUAAUGUAUUCAAGGUGUCCAUGUACUUUGAGUACAGCUAAUAAUAAGCUCCUUGGAAAAUAUGAUGAAGACACUGGCAGAUUAUCAAAGUUCAACAAAAUCAACUUCAUGUACAUCCAAGACUACCAUUUCCAAAAUAGGCUGGUGGAUUGAGGUUUACUGUUUCAUUUGGAAUGGUAACUAUCAGAGUGUGGGAGGCACUUUUCAUAAUCACAGGGAUGGGACAGUAAGCUUUGCCUCCUACAUUCAGUAUGUGUCCUGAUGCUGCUUUGUCUUUGCAUCUGAAAUUCCAAGUAGCUUCCUCCAAAGCAAAAGGCCACCCAGGAGCUGGAAUGAAAGGAGAAUGCAGUAAAAUGCAGUGGAAGCUUUCUUGAUCCAAUUAAAGGCUCAUUGAUGGACUCAGGAGACAAAGAUCUAGAAGAUAAAAUAUGAGGCUCGGGACUAACAGUCCUUUAAGAGGCCAUGUAGAACCUCUACCCUGCAGGGGGCCAAACUUCCUCUCCACCUACUGUCCUUCCCUCUGUCUUCAUUCUGUGUGAAACACCAUCAGUUGAUGGAUGGCACUUCUACCAGAGACACAUCUGGGGGCAGAUUUAUCACAAAGCUAAUGAAAUUUAUGCUUCAGAGACUUUCACUUGAAUAUACUAUUUUCAAGGUCAUCUGGGCAGGACUUAGCAAUGUUUUCAUGUAGUUAUGUGUUUUUGCUGUAAAAUUUGUAAAAGGAAGAUGCUUUCACUGAAACCAGUUAGGAUUUUUGUCUCUCUUUCCCUUGUCUCCAUUUCUCUCCUGCUGGGUAGCAUUGGAAUGGAUAUUAUGAGCAUAUGAGUUACGGGAAACUGAGUUUGGAAUUUAUUUAGGAUUUGGUGGUAUGCAUUUUCUGUGGUUUGCAGUCACUUCUAUGUAUUAUUAAGUUAUGACUGGCUACUCCAAUGUACUACUGCCUUUCAAGGAAUGUCUUUACUGGUCCCUGCACUGACUGGCCUUGUGCUGUGCAUGAAUCAGCAAGGCCCACUGUCUGCUUAUGAUAUGAAUGUGUUUGAUAGCUCUUGGUAAUGGAAUUUUGUGAACUGUGGAAGCAAAACAACGUUUGAAAUCUAUGGAGUCAAAUAGUAGUUUGUGAAUAAUUUCUAAUUAUGAGAUGCAUCAAGUUACAUGCUGACCAUGCGUUUCCUUUUGUUCUCUUCUCAGGAAAACAAUAUGCCAUAUAUUCACUUAAAACACAAUGUAAUUUAUUUUCUCUUUUGAUAGGAAUCAUGAGAAACAGAAUUUAUCAGGUGGCUAGUAUUUCUUGGGUUAAUAUUACAAAGAGCAAGUAUAAAUGUGUAUUCAGUCACAUGUUUGGGCGUCUCAGCUGUAAGUAACCUAAAAGAAAUUUUGUUCAGCCCAGCCAGAGAAAGACUGAUUAUCUUUCUCUUUUCCCUGUAAAAAAUGGUUUUACAAAAUUUUUGUCAUUUGAAGGAGUAAUCAAAUACUAUAAAGCCAAAAUAUGCAGAAAAUAAGUAUUACAGAAGUGUGUUUUUUUGACAUUUGUGAUAUUUGUUGGCUUUUAAAACAUGUAAACCAUUGUGCUUUCUCUCACUCUAAAUGAAUAAUUACCUUCAUACCUUAGAUCUUUUAUUUAAUAAUGGCUCACUUUUUAUAAGUAUCAGUCCCCACAAUCUUUUUCUUGUCCUUCCUGGGGGAGCUAAAUGGAGGAUGUUAAAAUGUCUAAAAUAUUUAACUAAAAAAUAACGUGGUUCUGGGAGAAUGUCUCUAAAUCUGUGUAAGGCAGAUGAAACUGUACCAGUUCUGUUUUUCAAUUUCAUCCUCUCUCUCUCUCUCAUACCCACCCCCCACCCACACACACACAGAGGCUGUCUAGGCUCUUCAUACCUUAGAGAACAGAAGGGAUGUUCUCUCCAUUCAACACUGUAAUUUGCAGAGACAAUCACUAAGCCUCAGUGGAAGAACUCUACAGGAACUUUGUUUUCUUGUUUCCACAAAAGGCCAAAUAAUACUUCCCCUCUAUUGACUCCACAUCUACGUGGAAAGUUCACCCUUCUCAAGCCUCUAUGUCCCUAAACAAUGUUUAUCUGCUCUGGGUUUCUGAGUGUGAUCUUUAAACUCCUCUUACAUUUCUGAGCAGCUGUCCUUAAUUAUUUAUGCUGUAGAUGCUAACCAGGACCACAGUGCAAAAUCACGCAGAAGAAAGGUUCUG